AAUAUAGAAGACAGCGGGCUAGCGUAUCUAGUCAUCUAUGUAUCUAUGGUCUGAACGCCUGGUAGCGUCUUUGGCUGCUGUUGACCUUGUUUUUGGAGUAAAACACGGUGGAAGCUGAAUUAGUGAGGAUGACUCCUGCUCCUGUCAUCUCUAAGCUCCUCACACAUCUUUACCUGCACAUGAGGAAAAUCACUCCUGUAGAAUGCAGAUGUUCAGAGGGAGAUGAUGCCACAUCUGGUCCAGCUGAUGGAAGGUCUUGAAGUUCUCUGACUGGCCUCGACUGAAGAUGGUCGUCUCACUGGAUUUAAGAUGCACAAUGAGGGACGUCUGCAGAGACUGAGAAAGAGUCUCACCACAUCCUGACAUGAGGAAAAAGACUUUAUUGAAGACUACAAUGAGAAAAACUAUCAGACAGCAGACGGCUGCAUUCAAGUCUGUAGCUGCUGAAUUCAUGGAUGAAUCAUCUGGCACUAGAGAAGAAGACCAUCAAACAUCCAUGUCAGCUGAUGGAGGUCCAAGAGUCUCACCCAACAAACAACCUACAGAGUGAAGACCUCAAAUCUGAUUGGACGGCCUCCUAUUCAGCCACAUUUUAGGCUGUUAGAUUGUUCCAGAUAAGACAAGUACAAGAUUCUUCAGAGCUGUUCUACCACGAGCCUGACAGGAAGAACUGCAACAGCUACUGAAUGUUCCUGUGGUUCCCUCAAGGCUACAGGAGGAGUCCUAUGAGGACGAGCUGAUCCACCUG